AGCAGCCGCGGUAAUUCCAGCUCCAAUAGCGUAUAUUAAAGUUGCUGCAGUUAAAAAGCUCGUAGUUGAAUUUCGGGACUAAUAUGUCGGUCGUGCCUCGGUACGUACUGGUUUAUUGGUUUCUCCUUUCUGAAGAACCAUGAUGUCAUUUAUUUGGUGUCGUGGGGAAUCAGGACUGUUACUUUGAAAAAAUUAGAGUGUUUAAAGCAGGCUCACGCUUGAAUACAUUAGCAUGGAAUAAUGAAAUAGGACGUUUGAUUCUAUUUUGUUGGUUUCUAGGAUCGACGUAAUGAUUGAUAGGGAUAGUUGGGGGCAUUAGUAUUCAAUUGUCAGAGGUGAAAUUCUUGGAUUUAUUGAAGACUAACUACUGCGAAAGCAUUUGCCAAGGAUGUUUUCAUUAAUCAAGAACGAAAGUUAGGGGAUCGAAGACGAUCAGAUACCGUCGUAGUCUUAACCAUGAACUAUGCCGACUAGGGAUCGGAUGAUGUUAAUUUUUAAUGA
rnacentral:rRNA from 1 species